AACGAACGCUGGCGGCAGGCUUAACACAUGCAAGUCGAACGAUGAACCCGGAGCUUGCUCCGGUGGAUUAGUGGCGAACGGGUGAGUAACACGUGAGUAACCUGCCCUUGACUCUGGGAUAACUGCGGGAAACUGUAACUAAUACCGGAUACGACCCUCGGCGGCAUCGCCAGGGGGUGGAAAGAAUUUCGGUCAAGGAUGGACUCGCGGCCUAUCAGCUAGUUGGUGAGGUAACGGCUCACCAAGGCGACGACGGGUAGCCGGCCUGAGAGGGUGACCGGCCACACUGGGACUGAGACACGGCCCAGACUCCUACGGGAGGCAGCAGUGGGGAAUAUUGCACAAUGGGCGCAAGCCUGAUGCAGCAACGCCGCGUGAGGGAUGACGGCCUUCGGGUUGUAAACCUCUUUCAGCACAGACGAAGCGCAAGUGACGGUAUGUGCAGAAGAAGGACCGGCCAACUACGUGCCAGCAGCCGCCGUAA
rnacentral:rRNA from 1 species